CAAGGAGUAGUUUAAGUAGAAUAUCAGCUUUGGGAGUUGAUGGUGGAGUUGUAAGAUGUUUCCUCCUUGA
rnacentral:tRNA from 4 species